UACGGAGGGUGCGAGCGUUGUCCGGAAUCACUGGGCGUAAAGGGCGCGUAGGCGGCUCAUGAAGGCUGUGGUGAAAGUCCGGGGCUCAACCUCGGAUCGGCCGUGGCGACUCGUGGGCUGGAGCACUGUAGAGGCGGGUGGAAUUCCGGGUGUAGCGGUGGAAUGCGUAGAUAUCAGGAGGAACACCGAUGGCGAAGGCAGGUCGUCUGGGCCACUACUGACGCUGAGAAGCGAAAGCAUGGGGAGCGAACAGG
rnacentral:rRNA from 1 species